UGAGGAAUAUUGGUCAAUGGACGCAAGUCUGAACCAGCCAUGCCGCGUGCAGGAAGACGGCUCUAUGAGUUGUAAACUGCUUUUGUACGAGGGUAAACUCACCUACGUGUAGGUGACUGAAAGUAUCGUACGAAUAAGGAUCGGCUAACUCCGUGCCAGCAGCCGCGGUAAUACGGAGGAUUCAAGCGUUAUCCGGAUUUAUUGGGUUUAAAGGGUGCGUAGGCGGUUUGAUAAGUUAGAGGUGAAAUCCCGGGGCUUAACUCCGGAACUGCCUCUAAUACUGUUAGACUAGAGAGUAGUUGCGGUAGGCGGAAUGUAUGGUGUAGCGGUGAAAUGCUUAGAGAUCAUACAGAACACCGAUUGCGAAGGCAGCUUACCAAACUAUAUCUGACGUUGAGGCACGAAAGCGUGGGGAGCAAACAGGAUUAGAUACCCUGGUAGUCCACGCAGUAAACGAUGAUAACUCGUUGUCGGCGAUACACAGUCGGUGACUAAGCGAAAGCGAUAAGUUAUCCACCUGGGGAGUACGUUCGCAAGAAUGAAACUCAAAGGAAUUGACGGGGGCCCGCACAAGCGGAGGAACAUGUGGUUUAAUUCGAUGAUACGCGAGGAACCUUACCCGGGCUUGAAAGUUACUGACGAUUCUGGAAACAGGAUUUCCCUUUGGGGCAGGAAACUAGGUGCUGCAUGGUUGUCGUCAGCUCGUGCCGUGAGGUGUCGGGUUAAGUCCCAUAACGAGCGCAACCCCUACCGUUAGUUGCCAUCAGGUCAAGCUGGGCACUCUGGCGGGACUGCCGGUGUAAGCCGAGAGGAAGGUGGGGAUGACGUCAAAUCAGCACGGCCCUUACGUCCGGGGCUACACACGUGUUACAAUGGUAGGUACAGAGGGUCGCUACUCCGUGAGGAGAUGCCAAUCUCGAAAGCCUAUCUCAGUUCGGAUUGGAGGCUGAAACCCGCCUCCAUGAAGUUGGAUUCGCUAGUAAUCGCGCAUCAGCCAUGGCGCGGUGAAUACGUUCCC
rnacentral:rRNA from 2 species